rnacentral:rRNA from 1 species
CAAUAGCGUAUAUUAAUGUUGUUGCAGUUAAAAAGCUCGUAGUUGGAUUUCUGGUGGGAGUGGCCGGUCCGCCGUAAGGUGUGUACUUGGUUGUCUCCCGUCAUCCUUGUGGGAACUGCUCUGGCAUUAAGUUGUCGGGUUAGGGAACACAUCGUUUACUGUGAAAAAAUUAGAGUGUUUAAAGCAGGCUUAUGCCGUUGAAUACAUUAGCAUGGAAUAAUAAGAUAGGACUUUGGCGUCUAUUUUGUUGGUUUGCACACCAAGGUAAUGAUUAAAAGGGGCAGUCAGGGGCACUCGUAUUCCGUCGAGAGAGGUGAAAUUCUCAGACCAAUGGAAGACGAACCACUGCGAAAGCAUUUGCCAGGGAUGUUUUCACUGAUCAAGAACGAAAGUUAGGGGAUCGAAGAUGAUCAGAUACC